rnacentral:rRNA from 1 species
AGGGGUAUAGUAAGCUUGCUUACUAGAGACCGGCGCACGGGUGCGUAACGCGUAUGCAAUCUACCUUUUACAGGGGAAUAGCCCAGAGAAAUUUGGAUUAAUGCCCCAUAGUAUAUAAGAGUCGCAUGGUUUUUAUAUUAAAGUUCCAACGGUAAAAGAUGAGCAUGCGUCCCAUUAGUUAGUUGGUAAGGUAACGGCUUACCAAGACGAUGAUGGGUAGGGGUCCUGAGAGGGAGAUCCCCCACACUGGUACUGAGACACGGACCAGACUCCUACGGGAGGCAGCAGUGAGGAAUAUUGGUCAAUGGGCGCAAGCCUGAACCAGCCAUGCCGCGUGCAGGAAGACGCAUCUAUGGUGUGUAAACUGCUUUUGUACGGGAAGAAACACUCCCUCGUGAGGGAGCUUGACGGUACCGUAAGAAUAAGGAUCGGCUAACUCCGUGCCAGCAGCCGCGGUAAUACGGAGGAUCCAAGCGUUAUCCGGAAUCAUUGGGUUUAAAGGGUCCGUAGGCGGUUUAGUAAGUCAGUGGUGAAAGCCCAUCGCUUAACGAUGGAACGGCCAUUGAUACUGCUAGACUUGAAUUACUGGGAAGUAACUAGAAUAUGUAGUGUAGCGGUGAAAUGCUUAGAUAUUACAUGGAAUACCAAUUGCGAAGGCAGGUUACUACCAGUAUAUUGACGCUGGGGGACGAAAGCGUGGGGAGCGAACAGGAUUAGAUACCCUGGUAGUCCACGCUGUAAACGAUGGAUACUAGCUGUUGGGCUCAAGUUCAGUGGCUAAGCGAAAGUGAUAAGUAUCCCACCUGGGGAGUACGAACGCAAGUUUGAAACUCAAAGGAAUUGAC